rnacentral:misc_RNA from 1 species
CACAAGAACGACAACACGGAACACAUCAGCCUAGCGACAAAAUGGCGUCACCGGACACAUACGCAACGAUAUCCACGUGAUACCCAACUCUAGGGGUAGGUGUCUUCCAUGAAAAACAUGGAAGAUGCCACCCCCUCACACUACGAACAGACAGAAGAUACUGAGAUACCUUAUCCAAACACAGUCCUACGUGUGAUUACACGCUAGCAACACAAUGGACGAUGACCGGUACCAUGGGCUCGUGGCCUAUCCGUUGACCUCGAAAGAGGUCGAUGUAUGGACCUAAUACCCGGUACACGGCUGCCAAGUGUUCAGCACCGUAUCCAUAACGCAGCCGACUGACUCCGACUGUUCCAACUACAAACCAAAUGGUAUGUUUCACGCUCUCAUUAUUAUUUGCAACAUGAUGAACCAUAGCACUGGGCACCGAAAAAUAAUGAGUGACAAGCUUAAAGAGGGCCUAGAAAACCCUCGUUCACUGACAGAACAAUAGCAAAUUAUUGUGUGUCGGGUGUGCUUUCGAGUUGUUAUCACACAUGUACUAACCUCAGUUAAUACAUUCUUCGUUCCAACCCAAUUCCUAAACGUUUAUUCCUCGUAGUCAUCAGACGACAAUGCCUACAACACCCUUAGAAUCGGUUAGAAUGAUGAUUUCAGAAAAAUGACAAGCAUAUGUCUGACUCUCAAGUGGAGAAAAAUUUUCUUACGUCUGACUAACCGUGAUCAACAAAUUGAGAGUGAUGAGUUCGUUACGCGCUGAGACUGGAGAGAUAUAUCAUAACGCUCAUUGAAGUGUAGAACUACUUUGAUACGAUGUAGUUUGCACAAUACAGAUGUCCCGUCUACUGAACACUAUUACUGUAAUUAGUAGUUACUUUUACAAGGUACUCACCAAUACGUAUUUUUCAUACAAG